rnacentral:rRNA from 1 species
GACGAACGCUGGCGGCGUGCUUAACACAUGCAAGUCGAACGGAAAGGCCCUGCUUUUGUUGGGUGCUCGAGUGGCGAACGGGUGAGUAACACGUGAGUAACCUGCCCUUGACUUUGGGAUAACUUCAGGAAACUGGGGCUAAUACCGGAUAUGAGCUCCUGCUGCAUGGUGGGGGUUGGAAAGUUUCGGCGGUUGGGGAUGGACUCGCGGCUUAUCAGCUUGUUGGUGGGGUAGUGGCUUACCAAGGCUUUGACGGGUAGCCGGCCUGAGAGGGUGACCGGCCACAUUGGGACGGAGAUACGGCCCGGACUCCUACGGGAGGCAGCAGUGGGGAAUAUUGCACAAUGGGCGGAAGCCUGAUGCAGCAACGCCGCGUGCGGGAUGACGGCCUUCGGGUUGUAAACCGCUUUCGCCUGUGACGAAGCGUGAGUGACGGUAAUGGGUAAAGAAGCACCGGCUAACUACGUG